CCCCAGGCCGUGUCCUGGACCACCCCACUCGUGCCCCUGAUGGAUGCUGCUCCCCUGACUUUCCUCUCACAGGUGCCAAACAUCACGUGGGUUUGGAAAAAACCGAGCUCCCCAAGGUUCAGUGGUACUGCUGCACUCAGCAGGGUCUGAGGAUUAGUCAUUACCUGUUCCUGCCAUGUCAGCACUCGGGCUGGGGGUGUGACGAGAGGAAGGGAACCCAUUAAUUUUUUACCUCUCAGUUGCAAAAGGGAGUUAAAGAUGUCAUCCUUAUAAUGAGUAACAACAGGAGCUCAUUCCCUGCCCUGUGUACGCAGUGGAUGUGUGACAGAUGUCUGGGCUGCUCACCCUGCAGUGCCUGCAUGUGGGUUUGGAGGUGUGCUGAGAGCUCAGUGGGUCUCAGUGUCCCUGUCCCCACGGAUCCCUGCCAGGGGGUCUGAGCAAGGACAAGGCUUUACUGCUGAGCUUGCCCAGGAGCUUCCGUGCUUGGGCUUAUCACAACCAGCUCCCCUUUGGAGUUCACUUCCACGGGGAAAACACCUUAUGCAGGAGCCAGGGCUAUGUCCUAGCAGGAUCUCACCUCUGCACUGUCCAGGGUGCUGUCCUGCCUCAGUUUCCCUUGUCUGAAGCACAAGCAGAGGCUGACUGAGGCUGCCUUCCUGCGAGCUGUGCAGUCGCUCGCAGAUGCUUCUCGGUGUGAUCCUAAAAAGAACAAAAGGGAGCGAGCAUAAAUGAAAUUUAUUGUUGGAAAAUCUUAAUUAGAUUUUAAGCCCCAAAGGGAGAAAAGUGAGGUAUUAUCUGACACAGCUAAUGAGUGUUAAGGGUCCAUUGUUAUAUUUCUUGUUUACCUUUCUGUACUGGCUGAUACAGCCCAGAUCCUCGUCUGUACUGCCAUAAUUAGGAUAUCUCAUCUCUUGCUGAUAGGGUCGGGAUGCUCUUUAAAGCACAAUGCUGUCUCAUCCCUCCCUGGCAGGAUGAGCGUGAUUGGGAAGACAACUUCUGGUGUGCCAGUGCUCGUGCCUUCCCCCCCGUGAGCUGGGGAAUGUCCUCCCGAGUCAGGCUGUACCUGAGACCCGCAGGAGGGUGCAAUCUGUCUCUUGGAACUCCAGAAAAUGGGAUAUCUUGCUGAAAGCCACCUUUACUCUGAUGCUCCCCCGAUCUCUCCUGAGGCUCUUUAGCUAUGCGGGUUUGAGAUGUUUCUGUUCCAGCUGUAACUGGAGCAGCUUGGGCAGGUGGACACCUAUGAUAUAAAUUAUCCCGAGGCAGUUUAAUUCCAGACUUGCUGCAUUCAGGCAAACUGCUGCUGGAAGCAGCACCAGCUCUAUCCCUGCACCUGAGCGAUGUAGCCUGGGGUUUAUAUCCUGGCACUGGGCACCUUGACACCCAAGAGGUGUGAUUUGGAUCUCCAGAGGAAAAAAGGGAGCCUGUGCCACCCUCAUGGUCCUUUGGGUGGGGAGGAAGCC
rnacentral:lncRNA from 1 species